rnacentral:lncRNA from 13 species
CAUGGAUGAAUAUUCUUUUUCCUUUGGCUUGAAGUUUUAAGCUGCUUACAACAUGUGGAAUUCAAAGCUGCAGGCACACAACUGCCAGAACUGUCAGGAAGAUUAACAACAGGCUCUUCUAACCCAUCUCUGGCUGUCACUUCUACUAAACAAGAAGCGCAGGCAAGAGGACUCUCUGAGGAGCCACCUGUCAGAGCUGUCCAUUUGGACAUCACUGCUGAAGUCUGAGAGCAAAUGCUGAAGGAAAAUGCUAACAGAGAGAAGGCUGAGUUCUCUCCAUCUCAAAUCUAAAUCAGUGCAAUAGAAUACAAACUAUCAUUAAAAUCAAACAUUGGAAACUGAUUAAGACCUUAAGAAAUAUUGUCAGAAGAGUGUCCAGAAGUCAAAUAAUGUCCAGCUCACCAUUGCAAACCUCCUUGGGAACUCCCCUUGCCUUGGGUUAAAAACAUACAUUGUUCUUUAUCAAUCCCUGAUGUAACCAGAUCAUUGCAACUAGAAUAAAUAAAGCAAUAGAUAAAAAGUCCUUUCCCCA